AUGCUCACCUUGCUGCGCCGCCUUACUGCUUCUGCACCAUCCUCAGGUUCUGCUGGUUCUGCUGGUCAGACGUCUGGUCCACCACCGCACUCUUCGUCAGGUACAUCUUUGCCCUGGAUUCUUGAUUCUGGGGCCUCCUUCCACAUGACACCACACAGAGAUCAUCUUUGUGCUGUCAAUUCCGUGCCUUCUCCUCUUACAGUUCAGACUGCAGAUGGCACUUCUCUUUCUGUUGCCGCAAGAGGGACUCUUUCCACGUCUUCUUUUCAUGUCCCUGCCGUUUCUCAUGUUCCUAAACUGACUAUGCAACUUCUAUCUGCUGGUCAACUUACUGACUUGGGUUGUCGUGUUAUUCUGGAUUCUGACUCUUGUUGUGUUCAGGAUCGUCGUACGGGGACUCUGGUUGGGAUCGGUCCUCGGCGCCAUGACUCUCAGCGCCUUUGGGUCCUGCCCCCUUUGUUUCGAAAGGGGGUCACAAAUAUUAUAUAA
rnacentral:rRNA from 1 species